rnacentral:rRNA from 1 species
AGAGUUUGAUCAUGGCUCAGGAUGAACGCUGGCGGUCUGCUUAACACAUGCAAGUCGAACGGGCUCUUUCGGGAGCUAGUGGCGGACGGGUGAGUAACGCGUGAGAAUCUGCCCUUAGGAGGGGGAUAACGGUUGGAAACGACCGCUAAGACCCCAUAUGCCGAGAGGUGAAAUAGUAUUCUGCCUGAGGAUGAGCUCGCGUCCGAUUAGCUAGUUGGUGGGGUAAGAGCCUACCAAGGCGACGAUCGGUAGCUGGUCUGAGAGGAUGAUCAGCCACACUGGGACUGAGACACGGCCCAGACUCCUACGGGAGGCAGCAGUGGGGAAUUUUCCGCAAUGGGCGAAAGCCUGACGGAGCAAGACCGCGUGAGGGAAGAAGGCCUGUGGGUUGUAAACCUCUUUUGAUAGGGAAGAAGUUCUGACGGUACCUAUCGAAUAAGCCUCGGCUAACUCCGUGCCAGCAGCCGCGGUAAUACGGAGGAGGCAAGCGUUAUCCGGAAUUAUUGGGCGUAAAGCGUCCGUAGGUGGUUGUUCAAGUCUUCUGUCAAAGCGCGGAGCUUAACUCCGUAAAGGCAGAGGAAACUGAGCGGCUAGAGUGCGAUAGGGGCAGAGGGAAUUCCCAGUGUAGCGGUGAAAUGCGUAGAUAUUGGGAAGAACACCGGUGGCGAAAGCGCUCUGCUGGGUCUGCACUGACACUGAGGGACGAAAGCUAGGGGAGCGAAAGGGAUUAGAUACCCCUGUAGUCCUAGCUGUAAACGAUGGGUACUAGGCGUUGUCCGUAUCGACCCGGGCAGUGCCGUAGCUAACGCGUUAAGUACCCCGCCU